AUUGAACGCUGGCGGCAUGCCUAACACAUGCAAGUCGAGCGAAUGAAGGAGGCUUUUUCUUGUCUUCUGUGAGCGACGGGCGGGUAAUUCCUAGGAAUCUGCCUUGUCUUUGGGACUAAGGUCCGUAAACGGGCCCUAAUCCCACAUCCGUCCUUAUUUUGAAACUGGGGGUUCUUCGGACCUCGCCCUUCUUGCUGACCCUAGGUCGGAUUAGCUAGUUGGUUGGGUAAGGGCCUACCAAGGCGACGAUCCGUAGCUGGUCUGAGAGGAUGAUCAGUCACACUGGAACUGAGACACGGUCCAGACUCCUACGGGAGGCAGCAGUAGGGAAUAUUGGGCAAUGGGCGAAAGCCUGAUCCAGCAAUGCCGCGUGUGUGAAGAAGGUCUUCGGAUCGUAAAGCACUGUAAGUAGGGAGGAAGGGAAGUAAGAGAAUACGUGGAUGUCUUGACGGUACCAAAAGAGUAAGCAACGGCUAACUUCGUG
rnacentral:rRNA from 1 species